GCACUGGUGGUCUGGUGGUAGAAUGUUUGCCUUCCGUGCAAGAGACCCAGGUUGGAUUCCUGGCCGAUGCU
rnacentral:tRNA from 1 species